CGUGCGCCCUGGAGCCUCCGAAAACUGUGUUCCAAAGUGCGAGCGCGGCGGCGGUGGGCGCGCGAUUGUGUUUUUUUUUCGGGACCCCCCGGGCGGCCGGCGUCGACUCGAGGCAAGCGUCGACUCGAGGCAAGUUGCCAUCGAGGGAUCUCGGCUCCGGCUUCCUGCUCGGGCCCGCGACCCCCUCCCCCCCGGAGCGGCGAGGGUUGGAACCGAGUUAGCACUCGCCCUGCUGGGAGGAAGCAGCCCCCCGGCCUGGACCUGGGCCACUGGAGCCUGGUUCUCCGCUGGCACUUUCGGAGGGGAGCGCCCAGCGAUUGUCCUGGACACAUGCUGUCCCCCGCCCCCUCCCAGCGGCCGGCCUGCAGCCGCCGGCGGCCGACACGGUCCCCCCUUUUUUGCAUUUCUCUUUUUCCUUCCCCUUUCUUUAUUAAAGGUCCGGGAGCGGCGGCGGCCAAUCAGCGCGCGGCUUCCAUUUUAGCCCUAAACAGCCCUCAGCGAAGCCGCCUUUUUGCCAACCCAACCCUGGAAAGUUUGCAGAAGUGGAAGGACAGAAAAUGCCCCGAGAGUGUAACUUUCAAAAAGCUUGAUCUACACUCCAUGGCACCGGGCUGAGCGGGUUUUUGGCCGGAGAAGGGGCCGCGGCAGGUACCCCCUGGGUGGACAGCCCUCCUUUGGACAGCACGAGCAGGCCUAGUUUGAAUCUCAAAGUCCUCCCUCCAAGGUAGGUGUGAACCCUUUUCCCAGGCCGUGAGGGCCACUUGGGGGGCUUUGGCCUGCAGCCCAGUGAGGGCGGGAAUCCCAAACCGGCUGGGCUGGUUCUGCAGCCCCUCCCCCCCACAGAUGUGUGACUGUGUGUGUGUGUGUGUGUGUGUGAGAGCAGCUGCCCGCUGGGCCUGCCGGGCCCCAUCCAUCCCUGCCCGGCAGCCUGGGUUGUCAGGCAUUUGGGGCGUGCAGUUCUUGGCCCAGUGUGGCCACACAGGAAAGGCUGCACUGGCAAGUAUUUCCCAGUUGUGUGUUUGCUGGUUGAGGGGGGCGGGCCUUGGACGCCUGCCUCUGACAGGCACGGGCUGCCAGUACUUGGCCACUGAAGGGGCCGCCCUCUGGUGACCGGCCGCUGGACAACGAAGAACUGAAGUGGGCCCUGGUCUGGGCUGUCUCUUUCCCGGAAACGUGGCCGCCCCUCCCCCGGAUUCCCACCGCGCCUCCGCUCCGCAGGUGGCCAGGGGUAUGUAGCCUUGUUUUGUGCAGACACACCUGCAUUUCGACCUGGCUCUCCAGGUACCCUCUCUGGCCUUGCAGAAGAUGUAUGGUCUCUGAGCCUCAGUUUCCCCAUCUGUAAAAAUGGGGCUGGACCACUGGCCGGCUGGAACUGGAGUGCCUGUCAGAAUCACAUGGGGGGGUGUGCUGAUCCUGGGGCGGAGCCUGGGAACCUGCCUGACGGGCUCUCCGGCCAGGCUUGUUUCCAGACCCUCUGGGCUUGGAAACACCUCUCACAGUGACCCUGAAGCUCGGCUCUCGGAGGGGUUUCGCACCCAGUGCCUUGUCCGUCGCCUCCCGCCACGGGCAGGCCCUGCGUGGCUGUCCUUUGUGGCCGAGAAUCCCUCGGUCCCUGCCCG
ensembl:lncRNA